UGGGGAAUUUUGGACAAUGGGCGAAAGCCUGAUCCAGCAAUGCCGCGUGUGUGAAGAAGGCCUUCGGGUUGUAAAGCACUUUUGCCCGGAAAGAAAUCCUUGGCUCUAAUACAGUCGGGGGAUGACGGUACCGGAAGAAUAAGCACCGGCUAACUACGUGCCAGCAGCCGCGGUAAUACGUAGAGUGCAAGCGUUAAUCGGAAUUACUGGGCGUAAAGCGUGCGCAGGCGGUUUGCUAAGACCGAUGUGAAAUCCCCGGGCUCAACCUGGGAACUGCAUUGGUGACUGGCAGGCUAGAGUAUGGCAGAGGGGGGUAGAAUUCCACGUGUAGCAGUGAAAUGCGUAGAGAUGUGGAGGAAUACCGAUGGCGAAGGCAGCCCCCUGGGCCAAUACUGACGCUCAUGCACGAAAGCGUGGGGAGCAAACAGGAUUAGAUACCCCUGGUAGUCCACGCCCUAAACGAUGUCAACUAGUUGUUGGGGAUUCAUUUCCUUAGUAACGUAGCUAACGCGUGAAGUUGACCGCCUGGGGAGUACGGUCGCAAGAUUAAAACUUAAAUGAAUUGACGGGGUCAUA
rnacentral:rRNA from 1 species